CUGAAAGCUACGGCGUCUAAGGAUGAGUUGGCGGCUGAUUAGGUUGUUGGCGGGGUAAAGGCCCACCAAGCCGAAGAUCAGUAGGAGCCUUGUGAGAGGUAGCUCCGAGAAGGGCACUGAGAUACUGGCCCUAGCCCUACGGGGUGCAGCAGGUACGAAAACUUUACAAUGCACGAAAGUGUGAUAAGGGAAUCCCGAGUGCUUAUGUUUUACAUAGGCUUUUGCCAAGAGUAAAUAUCUUGGCGAAUAAGUGAUGGGUAAGACUGGUGCCAGCAGCCGCGGUAACACCAGCGUCACAAGUGGCAACCAUGUUUAUUGGGCCUAAAGCGUCCGUAGCCGGUUUGAUAAGUCCUUUGUGAAAUCGUUGCGCUUAACGUAACGCUGUGCAAAAGAUACUGUCAAACUUGAGAUUGGAGGGGGUUAGGGGUAUUCUGAGGGGAGCGGUAAAAUGCUAUAAUCCUCGGAGGACCACCUGUGGCGAAAGCGCCUAACCAGUACAACUCUGACGGUGAGGGACGAAAGCCAGGGGAGCAAACCGGAUUAGAUACCCGAGUAGUCCUGGCCAUAAACUCUGCGAGCAAGGUGUUGCAUAUUCUCCGUGAAUAUGCAGUGUCGAAAUGAAGAUGUUAAGCUCGCCGCCUGGGAAGUAUGGUCGCAAGACUGAAACUUAAAGGAAUUGGCGGGGGAGCACCACAAGGGGUGCGGCGUGCGGUUUAAUCUAAUUCAACGCAGAAAAUCUCACCAGAAGCGACGGCAGGAUGAAGGUCAGGUUGAAGGUCUUACCAGACAAGCCGAGAGGUAGUGCAUGGCCGUCGUCAGCUCGUGCCGUAAGGUGUCCUGUUAAGUCAGGCAACGAGCGAGACCUGUACCUACAAUUGCUAGCAACAUUUUGGAUUGAGCACAUUGUAGGGACUGCCUUGGAAACAAGGAGGAAGGCGCAGGCUACGAUAGGUCUGUAUGCUCCGAAUCUUCUGGGCUACACGCGCGCAACAAUGACAAGGACAAUGGGAUACGACUCCGAAAGGAGAAGUUAAUCCUCAAAACCUUGCCUUAGUUCAGAUUGAGGACUGUAAUUUGUCCUCAUGACGCUGGAAUCCCUAGUAAUCGGAAGUCAUCAUCUUCCGGUGAAUAUGUCCCUGCUCCUUGCACACACCGCCCGUCAAACCAUCCGAGCAGGGUUUAGGUGAGAAUUAUCUUUGAGGUAAUUCGAAUCUAAACUCAGUGAGGCGGGUUAAGUCGUCACAAGGUA
rnacentral:rRNA from 1 species